CCAGUGAAUAAUUUAACGGCCGCGGUAUCCUAACCGUGCAAAGGUAGCAUAAUCACUUGUCUACUAAUUAUAGACUAGCAUGAAAGGCAAAAUGAGGGUCUAACUGUCUCUUAUAAUUAAUCAAUUAAACUGAUCUCCCAGUAAAAAAGCUGGGAUUCCCACAUAAGACCAGAAGACCCUGUGAAGCUUAAACUACACUAUUAAACCUAAUAAUAGCCACUUUCGGUUGGGGCGACCUUGGAAAAAAAAAGAACUUCCAAACAAUGACUACUCAUGUCACCACUAGGCCCACAAGCCAUUAAACGACCCAGCAUAGCUGAUAAUUGAACCAAGUUACUCCAGGGAUAACAGCGCAAUCCUCUUCA
rnacentral:rRNA from 1 species